CCUACGGGGGGCUGCAGUAGGGAAUCUUCCGCAAUGGACGAAAGUCUGACGGAGCAACGCCGCGUGUGUGAAGAAGGCCUUCGGGUUGUAAAGCACUUUCAGCGGGGAGGAAGGCGUUAAGGUUAAUAACCUUGUCGAUUGACGUUACCCGCAGAAGAAGCACCGGCUAACUCCGUGCCAGCAGCCGCGGUAAUACGGAGGGUGCAAGCGUUAAUCGGAAUUACUGGGCGUAAAGCGCACGCAGGCGGUCUGUCAAGUCGGAUGUGAAAUCCCCGGGCUCAACCUGGGAACUGCAUUCGAAACUGGCAGGCUAGAGUCUUGUAGAGGGGGGUAGAAUUCCAGGUGUAGCGGUGAAAUGCGUAGAGAUCUGGAGGAAUACCGGUGGCGAAGGCGGCCCCCUGGACAAAGACUGACGCUCAGGUGCGAAAGCGUGGGGAGCAAACAGGAUUAGAUACCCCAGUAGUC
rnacentral:rRNA from 1 species